CUUUCUAAUAAGAACAACCAUAAGUCCUGGUCCUGUUUUACUUCACAAGAUAUGGAAUAUCACAUAGAAGUCAUGAAAAAGAAGAUGUAUAUUUUUAGGGGCAAAAUGUCUAGAAGAACUCUUCUACCAAUUCCCACUGUUGCAGGAAAGAUGGAUCUGGAUCAGAAUUGUUCAGAGAACAAGCCACCGUCAAACGAAAGGAUAAUACUUCAUGCAAUUGAAUCUGUGGUUAUUGAAUGGUCACAUCAAAUCCAAGAAAUUAUAGAAAGAGAUUCAGUGCAGCGUUUGUUGAAUGGUCUUCACUUGUCUCCUCAAGCAGAACUAGAUUUCUGGAUGAUGAGGAGAGAAAAUCUGUCAUGCAUUUAUGAUCAAGUAAGCACCUGUUGUCCUCAAAAUGGUUAAGAUCCUGACAACUAAACAAAGCAGCUAUUUUCCUACUCUGAAGGACAUUUUUCUGGCUGUGGAAAAUGGUAAGACUCUUGUUCCUCAGCCUGGCAUCAAUAUCACCAUCUGCUCAUGAUCCAGCCCCUGCCUGCUCGGCCUUGAUAUUUACCCUUCCGCCAUGUUUGUGGAGUGAUUGCUCAUGGCUCUUCUAAUGAUAAAUUCAUCUCACCCUUUGUACUAUAUUCUCCACCCAUACUAAACUACUUUUAGUUUAUCUGGUAUAUAGUAGUACCUGCCAAAAUGGCUCCAGAUUGAAAUUUUAAUUAGAAUGUUUGUGGAGGAGUGAGGCCUUCAUUCGGAGUUAAAAAAAAAAAAUAAGUCUGGAUAGAGGUUUUCCAAUCAACAGAUUGGGCUAUGGUGAGUCUAGUUAUUCAUCAGUUCAGUUCUCUGAGUGUGCUUGGUAACCAGUUAUUUAGCUUGCAAACACUCAAAGCCAUCAUUGAAGUUUUGGUGAAGAUUAAAUGUACAGAGUGGAGGGUUUGUUGAACUUUGAAUAGACAAUGCAUGCAUCUUGUUACAAACCAGGAAUCAUAAAAUGAUAUCCAGUCGAAAGUCUUCUCACCAUCCUUGUCCUUCCACUCUCUAGUUUCAGCCCCACCCAAAGAUGACAACCCUGCUCAGUUCCUUGAUUUCUGUUCAUGUUUCUUUGCACAUGUAUAAGCAUUUAGUUAUGGAUAUACAUGAUACUGUGGUUUUAAAUAAUAAA
rnacentral:lncRNA from 1 species